rnacentral:rRNA from 1 species
CCUGGCGGCAGUAGCGCGGUGGUCCCACCUGACCCCAUGCCGAACUCAGAAGUGAAACGCCGUAGCGCCGAUGGUAGUGUGGGGUCUCCCCAUGCGAGAGUAGGAAACUGCCAGGC